AGCUGUUUAGUUUAAUUUAAAAUAUUUAGUUGUGGUCUAAAGGAUGAAAUAGCUU
rnacentral:tRNA from 1 species